ensembl:ncRNA F44C4.9 ncRNA
AACUUACCGAAAAUGACGUUUCAAUUUUCUUCACCAAGUCAUUAAAACUGAUAACCAUGUUCGGCUUAUCCGGUGUUUUUGGCGAGAAGGUGAACAAAAAGUUCGGAUCAAUUCCAGGUGACUCCACCGAGUUCUUCCGGCUCAAGUU